rnacentral:rRNA from 1 species
UAUUGGGCGUAAGAGCUCGUAGGCGGUUUGUCGCGUCUGCCGUGAAAGUCCGGGGCUCAACUCCGGAUCUGCGGUGGGUACGGGCAGACUAGAGUGAUGUAGGGGAGACUGGAAUUCCUGGUGUAGCGGUGAAAUGCGCAGAUAUCAGGAGGAACACCGAUGGCGAAGGCAGGUCUCUGGGCAUUAACUGACGCUGAGGAGCGAAAGCAUGGGGAGCGAACAGGAUUAGAUACCCUGGUAGUCCAUGCCGUAAACGUUGGGCACUAGGUGUGGGGGACAUUCCACGUUUUCCGCGCCGUAGCUAACGCAUUAAGUGCCCCGCCUGGGGAGUACGGCCGCAAGGCUAAAACUCAAAGGAAUUGACGGGGGCCCGCACAAGCGGCGGAGCAUGCGGAUUAAUUCGAUGCAACGCGAAGAACCUUACCAAGGCUUGACAUGGGCCGGACCGGGCUGGAAACAGUCCUUCCCCUUUGGGGCCGGUUCACAGGUGGUGCAUGGUUGUCGUCAGCUCGUGUCGUGAGAUGUUGGGUUAAGUCCCGCAACGAGCGCAACCCUCGUUCCAUGUUGCCAGCGCGUAAUGGCGGGGACUCAUGGGAGACUGCCGGGGUCAACUCGGAGGAAGGUGGGGACGACGUCAAAUCAUCAUGCCCCUUAUGUCUUGGGCUUCACGCAUGCUACAAUGGCCGGUACAAAGGGUUGCGAUACUGUGAGGUGGAGCUAAUCCCAAAAAGCCGGUCUCAGUUCGGAUUGGGGUCUGCAACUCGACCCCAUGAAGUCGGAGUCGCUAGUAAUCGCAGAUCAGCAACGCUGCGGUGAAUACGUUCCCGGGCCUUGUACACACCGCCCGUCAAGUCACGAAAGUUGGUAACACCCGAAGCCGGUGGCCUAACCCCUUGUGGGAGGGAGCUGUCGAAGGUGGGACUGGCGAUUGGGACGAAGUC